GCGGUUGUGGCGGAAUUGGCAGACGCGCUGGUUUUAGGUACCAGUGGGUGACCGUGUGGGUUCGAGUCCCACUAGCCGCA
rnacentral:tRNA from 2 species